rnacentral:lncRNA from 1 species
AAAUUUGGGGCCCUAGGCCAUUGCCCCACUUGAUACACACAAGGGCCGGCUCUGGCUCUAGUGCCUGAAAUCGUGCCGCCGCCGUGCCCUAGCUCCUGAAGUAGCGCUGCCGCCUGAAUUCUUCAGAAGCACCAGCGCCGCCAGGCUCUUCAAGCCUGAAUUCUUCAGAUCGCGCCGUCCAUACCUCGCCGCCGCCAGUUCCCUCAGAUCCACCGUGUUCGUGUUGAAUUUGGUGUGGGAAAGAGAGAACGAGAGAGAGGAGCGCUACAGAGAGAAAGCAAGAAAUUGCAAAUAUUUAAGGAGGGGCAUU